CAACUUUCAGCAAUGGAUCUCUUGGCUCUCGCAUCGAUGAAGAACGCAGCNAAUCGCGAUAUGUAAUGUGAAUUGCAGAUCUACAGUGAAUCAUCGAAUCUUUGAACGCACCUUGCGCUCCUCGGUGUUCCGAGGAGCAUGCCUGUUUGAGCGUCAGUA
rnacentral:rRNA from 1 species